rnacentral:tRNA from 1 species
GGGCUCGUAGUUCAGUUGGCUAGAACGUUGCGCUGGCAGUGCAAAGGUCAGGGGUUCGAGUCCCCUCGAGUCCA